AUUGAACGCUGGCGGCAGGCCUAACACAUGCAAGUCGAACGAGUGGCGGAGGGGUGAGAAAUGUCGGGGAAAAUGCGCGAUGGAGGGGGAUAAAAACUGGAAACGGGAGCAAAUACAGCAUACCAUCGGAAGUGCCCAGAUGGGAUUAGCUAGUUGGGGGGGUAACGGCUCACCUAGGCGACGAUCCCUAGCUGGUCUGAGAGGAUGACCAGCCACACUGGGACUGAGACACGGCCCAGACUCCUACGGGAGGCAGCAGUGGGGAAUAUUGCACAAUGGGCGCAAGCCUGAUGCAGCCAUGCCGCGUGUAUGAAGAAGGCCUUCGGUUUGUAAAGUACUUUCAGCGAGGAGGCGUUACUCGCAGAAGAAGCACCGGCUAACUCCGUGCCAGCAGCCGCGGUAAUUC
rnacentral:rRNA from 1 species